CCUACGGGGGGCAGCAGUGAGGAAUAUUGGUCAAUGGGCGCAACCCUGAACCAGCCACGCCGCGUGAGGGAUGAAGGUUCUAUGGAUUGUAAACCCCUUUUAUAAGGGAAUAAAGUGUGGGACGUGUCCCAUUGUGUCUGUACCUUAUGAAUAAGGAUCGGCUAACUCCGUGCCAGCAGCCGCGGUAAUACGGAGGAUCCGAGCGUUAUCCGGAUUUAUUGGGUUUAAAGGGUGCGUAGGCGGACUUUUAAGUCAGCUGUGAAAGUCUGUGGCUCAACCAUAGAAUUGCCGUUGAAACUGGGGGGCUUGAGUAUGUUUGAGGCAGGCGGAAUGCGUGGUGUAGCGGUGAAAUGCUUAGAUAUCACGCAGAACCCCGAUUGCGAAGGCAGCCUGCCAGGCCAUGACUGACGCUGAUGCACGAAAGCGUGGGGAUCAAACAGGAUUAGAUACCCUUGUAGUC
rnacentral:rRNA from 1 species